rnacentral:rRNA from 1 species
CUGCCCGGUGAAUAACUAUUUAAACGGCCGCAGUGAAUAACUGUGCUAAGGUAGCGUAAUAAAUUGUCUCUUAAUUGGAGAAGGGUAUGAAUGGUUUGACGUGGUGGUAUCUGUCUCAGUAAUAAUAAGGUGAAGUUUUCUUUUUAGUUAAAAGACUUGAAUGGCGUUAAAAGACGAGAAGACCCUGUCGAGCUUGAUAAAAAUAUAGAGUGUUUUUGUAUAAUAAGUUUAGCUGGGGCAGCUGAAAACCAUAAAAUAGUUUUCUUUUUUUUGAAGAUCCGGUUUAUACCGAUCAUAAGAAAAAGCUACCGCAGGGAUAACAGCGUUAUCUUUCCUGAGAGAACUAAUUGAAGGGAAGGUUUGCGACCUCGAUGUUGGAUUAAAAUUUCUUUUUGGUGUAGCAGCUAAAAUAGUAGGACUGUUCGUCCUUUAAAAUUUUACGUGAUCUGAGU